rnacentral:rRNA from 1 species
ACGUGAUCUGAGUUCAGACCGGAGUAAUCCAGGUCAGUUUCUAUCUAUAAAAAGUUUUUUUCAGUACGAAAGGACCAAAAAAACAUGGCCAAUGUAUCUCACAAGCCAUAUCUACUAACCCAUGACCAACCCUCAACGGGUAACUAGAUUCUCACCAGUCUCAAGAUUAGAGAA